rnacentral:rRNA from 1 species
CCUACGGGAGGCAGCAGUGAGGAAUAUUGGUCAAUGGCCGGAAGGCUGAACCAGCCAUGCCGCGUGAAGGUCAGUGCCCUAUGGGCGUUAAACUUCUUUUGUGCGGGAGCAAUAAUGGUCACGUGUGGCCAGACGAGAGUACCGUACGAAUAAGCAUCGGCUAACUCCGUGCCAGCAGCCGCGGUAAUACGUAGGUGGCAAGCGUUGUCCGGAAUUACUGGGUGUAAAGGGAGCGCAGGCGGGAAGCCAAGUCAGCUGUGAAAACUACGGGCUUAACUUGUAGACUGCAGUUGAAACUGGUUUUCUUGAGUGAAGUAGAGGUUGGCGGAAUUCCGAGUGUAGCGGUGAAAUGCGUAGAUAUUCGGAGGAACACCGGUGGCGAAGGCGGCCAACUGGGCUUUAACUGACGCUGAGGCUCGAAAGUGUGGGGAGCAAACAGGAUUAGAUACCCUGGUAGUC